rnacentral:rRNA from 1 species
AUUGAACGCUGGCGGCAGGCCUAACACAUGCAAGUCGAACGAGGGGCGGACGGGUGAGUAAUGUCUGGGAAACUGCCUGAUGGAGGGGGAUAACUACUGGAAACGGUAGCUACUACCGCAUACCAUCGGAUGUGCCCAGAUGGGCUUAGCUAGUCGGUGGGGUAAAGGCUCACCUAGGCGACGAUCCCUAGCUGGUCUGAGAGGACGACCGGCCACACUGGAACUGAGACACGGUCCAGACUCCGAUGGGAGGCAGCAGUGGGGAAUAGUGCCCAAUGGGCGCAAGCCUGAUGCAGCCAUGCCGCGUGUGUGAAGAAGGACUUCGGGUUGUAAAGUACUUUCAGCGGGGAGGCGUUACCCGCAGAAGAAGCACCGGCUAACUCCGUGCCAGCAGCCGCGGUAAUUC